UACAGAGGGUGCGAGCGUUAAUCGGAAUUAUUGGGCGUAAAGCGCACGUAGGCGGCAUCGUAAGUCCGAUGUGAAAGCCCCAGGCUCAACCUGGGAAGUGCAUUGGAUACUGCGGAGCUUGAAUCUGGAAGAGGGUCGCGGAAUUCCCGGUGUAGAGGUGAAAUUCGUAGAUAUCGGGAGGAACACCAGUGGCGAAGGCGGCGACCUGGGCCAAGAUUGACGCUGAGGUGCGAAAGCGUGGGGAGCAAACAGG
rnacentral:rRNA from 1 species